CCUACGGGUGGCAGCAGUGAGGAAUAUUGGUCAAUGGACGAGAGUCUGAACCAGCCAAGUAGCGUGAAGGAAGACUGCCCUAUGGGUUGUAAACUUCUUUUAUAUGGGAAUAAAAUGUUCCACGUGUGGGUUUUUGUUUGUACCAUAUGAAUAAGGAUCGGCUAACUCCGUGCCAGCAGCCGCGGUACUACGGAGGGUCCGAGCGUUCUCCGGAUUUAUUGGGUUUAAAGGGAGCGUAGGUGGGUUGUUAAGUCAGUUGUGAAAGUGUGCGGCUCAACCGUAAUAUUGCAGUUGAAACUGGCAGUCUUGAGUACAGUAGAGGAGGGCGGAAUUCGUGGUGUAGCGGUGAAAUGCUUAGAUAUCACGAAGAACUCCGAUGGCGAAGGCAGUUCACUGGACUGCAACUGACACUGAGGCUCGAAAGUGUGGGUAUCAAACAGGAUUAGAUACCCUGGUAGUC
rnacentral:rRNA from 1 species